GUGGAAAUGAGUUAAUUGAUAAAUACAAAUUCCCUUUCAGAUAGGACACAAAUUUAAUAUAAAAUAAUUGCUUCCUUAUGACUGAUUUAUCUUAAGCCUGACUGCAUUUAAAUUAUAUCUUGCCCUUAUUCAGACCUUACCUAGGAAAAUAAAUGAACCUUUCGCUCUGGAAGGAGAUAGAAUGGAGAAUGCCCUAUAAGGAGACAAAGAAGAAAUAGUCUGAGUUCUUAAAAGAUGGAUUGAGAUCCCUUUCUCUCCUCCUGGUUGCUGAGGAAGACACAUAUCCCACUGCAAUAAAUCUAGGUUGGCGUUAGGUGGUCCACAACUCCCUGAAUCUGCACACCAAACAUUGUCUGCAGAUGAAUAUUGCAUAUUUCUGCAGAUUUCCUGGGACUUUUCAAAACGCCCCAAUUCAAGGAAAGCUCCAAGGAUGUAGCAUUUAUAAUACUACAGCUAGGAAGGAAGAAAAGAAGAAAAAUAGGAAGAACACACAAUCUCCAAAUAUAUGUUUCUAUUGUAAUAGUAUAAUGUGGGUAAAUAUUGUGUGCUUUAUUCAAUUUUCCUAAAUGCCUAAAAUAAAAUACAUUGCUUCUAUAAUUAAGAAAAGAUUACAUUUACCUUAAAAUGAUUUUGCCAAAGUUAAUAUUUAGGUAAGAUUUGGGAAGUGGAAAGUACAUAUUUUUAAAAAACACUGAUGUCUCGCAGUUUUAGAAAGGGGGGUAUCAUGUCCAUUGUGAACUAACAGACAGGUAGAGGGCCUAGUUAACAACUGCAUGGACAUCCCCAAACAGGGAGGCACAUCACAGAACACAAAACAAAGCAGGGAGGCCCUAUCUGGCCCUGCUGCUCCUGGAAGGUCCUCCUAUUGGCUGCAGGCACCUGCUUGGACCUGGAUGGGGAAGGGUACAUCACAGUCGAAGCCUCACGGGGCAGAUCUUCCAGAGCUAUGUUGAUGCUGGGCUACCCAGCACACCUUGGCCCUCUCUUUCCUUCACCUGGUACAGCCUGAACAGGGCACAUGGAGCCAGGCAUGGAGAGAGCUUUCACGCAAGCCCCUGAG
rnacentral:lncRNA from 1 species